UACGUAGGGGGCAAGCGUUGUCCGGAAUCAUUGGGCGUAAAGAGCGUGUAGGCGGCCAGAAAAGUCCGCUGUGAAAACUCGAGGCUCAACUUCGAGCUGUCGGUGGAAACUUUCUGGCUAGAGUCCGGAAGAGGAGAAUGGAAUUCCUGGUGUAGCGGUGAAAUGCGCAGAUAUCAGGAAGAACACCCGUGGCGAAGGCGGUUCUCUGGGACGGUACUGACGCUGAGACGCGAAAGCCAGGGGAGCAAACGGG
rnacentral:rRNA from 1 species